rnacentral:rRNA from 1 species
GACGAACGCUGGCGGCGUGGAUUAGGCAUGCAAGUCGAACGGUAUCAUCCUUUCGGGGGUGAGAGAGUGGCGAACUGGUGAGUAACACGUAGGUUAUCUACCCUCAAGACGGGGACAACCCAGGGAAACUUGGGCUAAUACCGGAUGUGAGCAACUUUUAGUUGUUUGGAAGGUGGCGUAAGCUGUCGCUUGGGGAUGAGCCUGCGUCCUAUUAGUUAGUUGGUGAGGUAACGGCUCACCUAGGCAAUGAUAGGUAGGCGGCCUUAACGGGUGGUCGCCCACACUGGGAUUGAGAUACGGCCCAGACUCCUACGGGAGGCAGCAGUCGAGAAUAGUCUACAAUGGUCGGAAGACUGAUAGUGCGACGCCGCGUGAACGAUGAAUCCCUUCGGGGUGUAAAGUUCUUUUAUAUGUGAGCAGUGCUUCUUAUAUUAACAGUAUGGGGAGAGAGAUAUUAGCAUAUGAAUAAGCAACGGCUAACUCCGUGCCAGCAGCCGCGGUAAAGAGU